rnacentral:rRNA from 1 species
GACAGAGGGUGCAAACGUUGUUCGGAAUUACUGGGCGUAAAGCGCGUGUAGGCGGUUCGGAAAGUCGGAUGUGAAAGCCCUGGGCUCAACCCAGGAAGUGCACUCGAAACUCCCGAACUGGAGUCCUGGAGAGGAAGGCGGAAUUCUCGGUGUAGAGGUGAAAUUCGUAGAUAUCGAGAGGAACAUCAGUGGCGAAGGCGACCUUCUGGACAGCGACUGACACUGAGACGCGAAA